GUUCCAGCUGCAGAUGCGUGCCACUGCAUGUGCUUUUUUGCGAUCUAUAGCAGACGCGGUCGAAUUGGAUUCACUUGAAGGAUUUAAAACAUCUAGGAGAAUGGUAUGGGCGUAAAAGUGGAGGAUUUUGGAGCGUCGCCAUCGCUCGGUUCUGCAAAGAAACGGGAACGAUCCUCCUCUGACUGACGAUCGUGCGACGAAGACGAAGAAGAACAGGGCAGAGUAGGCGAGAAAGUGUGUUUGCCUAACGAGAUCAUCACGGAACUGUAGUGGCAGAGAGGACGCAAGAUCGAGGAAUCAUCGCAGUGGUGCGUUCAGCUUGCUGCGGAGCACAUAGAGAACUCGUGAAGCGAGACUUCAACGCCGCCGUCGAUACCAGAAAAGGUGCGGUACCGCAGACGAGAGACGCGAGCGAUGUGACGCGGGCGAAGGUUGCGGGCCAGCCUCACAGCAUCGGCGUGUACGGGGUUAAGCUGAAGCCGAUAGCAGGCGGCUGGUCAAAACAAGCAGGGAGGCGUCUGAGCGUAGGAAUGUAAAUAUCAUUCACGGUCGAGGGACAUUUUUUGUUUUCCUGACCCUCUCCAGGAUACAAUGAAGCAUGUUGCCUGACCAGGGCGUAAACGCUCAAGUUCGGGCUCUUUUUUAACGAUCUUGAAUACUUGCGUUCGCGGGCCUGUCUGUAACCGCUUCCUUUGCCUGUCUCUCGGAUUUCCGGCUUUCAAUAUGCGAGUCCUUUGUUUUCCUGUGGAUCCGUUGUAAUCAAAAGAAGGACGUUUAUGGCAGUUUGAAGGCCCCGAUUCUGAAGUUCCAGGCUGUUCUCGACACCGCUAAUGCACAACUGGAGGUUGCGAUCAACGCUUUCGUUGUGUUCUUGCGAUCUUCUUUGGAUAGAACUGCGGUGUGCUCGUCGCAGCGGUGAGAGUUGCCUGUCAUCAGAUGUUCGCAUGCGCCCAACAAAUUCCCUCGUCCGAGCGAUUCCCCUCUGUCGUGGAAACGCUUGCUUCAGCGCUCGAUGCAUUGCCUCAACGGAUACGGAAAGCGCGACUCGAUGCUUUGCUGCGGUGAAGCCUCUGGGCGAUGCCCGCGGCGAGUACCCUCGUUGCGGCACGGCGCACGCGCACGCUGUUCCAUAAGGCAGAGAAUUUCGUGGAAUGCACAAUGUCGUCCAUGAUGAACCAAGUAUCCGACGGGAAGUGAAGGCCUGGGUAGACUUGGAAAAAUUUCGGUUCCUGUACGCUACCUCCAUGCGAAGCAGUCGAUAUGAUGAAUCAGGUCAGAGUCCGAUGCCCUUUUCCAUGCUAAAUGAAGCGAUGGGAGCCGCUGGUACCGCAUCAAAAGAGAGCUAUGAUGGUGAUGGUGAUGCUGUAGAAUGGCGUCUUGUCGAUGAACACAUAUAGGGGGAAAAAGGCUGGCCUUUCGGACGCAAUCGAUGAUUCGCAUUGCCGAGUUCAGCGCUAUCUCAGCAUUGCUAUGUGAUCAAGUCAUCCAGGGAAGAUCUCGGGUGUAUGCUCUCGUCCAUCCAGCGGCGCGAAUCGCUGUACCCACAAAUCCUCUUCAACCUGAUUGGUAGAAAACCUGAUGCAUGCAAAGUCUGCGCAUACCCUGUCUGUUUGACACGGAAAAGCAUGCAGAUUGCUACCCAGGACCUGGACCAUGAAACCGGUUGGUUUACGAAACCUCGUUCGAGGGCGUCGCCAUGCAUCGGUCUUGCGGUGCCGCAACGAUUUCCAGUGGCACAGCGCCCAGAGCGCCACGCCCAGGAGACAAGCGAGAAUCCCAAGAAUUCGGACGAAUCCGUAAGACCCCAUUGCUACACUUCGGUUAUCGAAGCUGUACACCUGAACAGCAUUCCGAUAAAAAUGUCAAGCCAGGACUAGAGCCAGCAGUCCAGUGUCCCGUGUUCAUUCUGACCCAGCGGUAGUACCUGAUGCGUCGAUUAUUCGCGUCAUGCGGUCGAGAAUUCUCGAGCGACCACUCAGCCAUGCAGCUGCGAGCGCGCUGACAUAGCGUAGGCGCUCAGAAGCGGCGUCCUUGAAUAACCUAUCGGAUGGUGCGCCCGCUGAACACCGUGCUCUAUCAACGCGGUGCUGGGAGCGUUCAGACUACCCCAGGAACAUCCAGUGUCGAUAUCGGAGCUCAAUGCGGAGCUCGAAUACGCGACUGGCGCUGGCCGUGUACUAGGAAUAUAACCCACUCACAAUGAGCAUAAACGUAUCAUCUCAAC
rnacentral:misc_RNA from 1 species